rnacentral:rRNA from 1 species
CGCGUAGGCGGCGGACCUUGUCGAGUGUGAAAGCCCCGGGCUCAACCUGGGAGGUGCGCUCGAGACGGGUUUGCUGGAGUUCGGGAGAGGAGAGUGGAAUUCCCAGUGUAGAGGUGAAAUUCGUAGAUAUUGGGAAGAACACCGGUGGCGAAGGCGGCUCUCUGGACCGAGACUGACGCUGAGGCGCGAAAGCGUGGGGAGCAAACAGGAUUAGAUACCCUGGUAGUCCACGCUGUAAACGAUGUGUGCUAGACGUUGGGGAGCGCAGCUCUUCGGUGUCGCCGCAAACGCUUUAAGCACACCGCCUGGGGAGUACGGCCGCAAGGUUAAA